ensembl:snoRNA
CGGGGGGAUGAUCCCGAGAUAGGAAGUGCCGUCAGAUGCGAGAACUGACGAAAGCCUUUCUCUGGCUGACC